UACGGGGGGGGCAAGCGUUGUUCGGAAUUACUGGGCGUAAAGGGCCAGUAGGCGGCCAACUAAGUCGGAUGUGAAAUCCCCAGGCUUAACCUGGGAACUGCAUCCGAUACUGGAUGGCUUGAAUUCGGGAGAGGGAUGCAGAAUUCCAGGUGUAGCGGUGAAAUGCGUAGAUAUCUGGAGGAAUACCGGUGGCGAAGGCGGCAUCCCGGACCGACAUUGACGCUGAACGGCGAAAGCUAGGGGAGCAAACGGG
rnacentral:rRNA from 1 species